CAUCGAACGAUCGUGCUUCUUAUUUCGCCUUCACAAGAUGUCUCUACUUGUGGCAUGUUUUAAUGUAUUUUCAAUGUAAACAAAAAACAUGUUUCGUUAAUGUAAAUGUUAAUUCUAGAAAUGUUAAUCUUGAUCAAGAUGAAUCAGUUUGAUAUAUUAUCAUGCUUUACAUCACUAUUUACAAGAAAAUUUUGAUAAAAGCCACUUCGAUCAAACGCGAGUCAAGGGUCAUUCCUGGGUUUUGAUGAUUCCCAAUCCCGUUUUACAAUCAAACCUUUGGAAUGCUGUUUGUUGAGUCCAUCUCGGUCUGAAGUGAAAAUGUUUGUAAUAAAAAGUUUCUCAUAAUAAAUACGAUUCUCUAAACAAGAUAUGAUCAAGGCCAUGGAACGAAAAAAAAGCAUAAGCUCAUACAGAGGAGAGAAAAGAACUGGGAAAAGAAAAUGAAUGAGUUAGCCCAAGAAAAUAUGUUACCUGAGGAAGAUGGUAAAGCUGAUCAUAAUAACUUGUCUCUAUUUUUUUGUGCCAUCAUUAUUCAUUAGUCAACUCACGCAACUCUAUGUUUUAUCACAAAAAAAGGAGCUUCACCAUUUAACUAGCUAUCGCUUUUGACCGGCCAAAACUAACCUCAAUUAACUUUGGAAACACCAAUCUCGCGAACAGAUCAAACCUUUAACCUUAACCGCAAUAAUUUACCCUGUGUGAGGUCAAAAGCUACCUAUUACCCCAAUACCAUCCAGAAAACUAUUCAAUUGACAGGUUCUACUGAUAACAAAAUACUGAUAUGGAUCAACUAUACAAAGCACGUUCAAUCAUCCAAAAUAUCUAGUUAUUUUAUCAUUUUAAUGAAAUUUAUUUCACAGAUUAGCAAAUAUCAGGGACUAUUCCUAACAUGGAUACGAAAAAAACUAGGAAAUUGUGAAAUAUUGUCGUCAACAUUUCCAGCUUCCGUCUACCUAAUCGGAUUAACCUGUUAUAAUUGAUGAUUUAUUACUCCUUCUCAAGGAAAAUUGAAAAAUUAAAUCUCUGGUGCUAACCAAAUGCUGAAUUGAAAUCAAUUGAUCGUCCAUAACUCUCAAUACAACUUGAAAAUAACUGCAAUUAUCUAAACUGUUACAUUCCUUGGAUUGUUACAUUGAUUUUACCAGUUGUCAGACGUUUCUUGAUUCGGGAAAACCUAAAUUUUCCUGUAAUUGUAUUCAAUACGAUGAGCGUGUUUGAUAAUACUUUUAACCAAAUAUUUGGCAUUAUUUUCAAGUAAUUUGUCUGGUCAGUGUAAUUAACCUAAUCAAGCUCUUAUAUUAACACCACAACCUUGGUAAUUUAGCUAUUGUUUAUCCAACUUGUAUCCAUUUUAAACAUUAGUUACGAGAGAGUCAAGUUGAUUGUAAACAAAUUCAAUUCCAACAGGUUGUACCACCAUGAUGAUCAUAAUCAUUAUCAUCUGAAUGAAGGACAAUCGACUGAUUUGGUAAAUUUAUAUAUCUAUGUAUAUUAACGUUAAUAAGGUAUGUUUAAAUUACAGAGGGAAAUUACAAGCAGACAAAUUGUUGGAAGUAAAUACGCUUUUGUAUCAAAAUCAAUCUUUUUGUGAUUAAAAAUAUCAUUCUAAUGGG